UCUGUGCUCACUCCAGAUGGAUUUCUCAGUAGCCUGGCUCUCUGUAUCACACCUAAGCAAGAUGUUUGCUUCUCUUUCCUGUGUUCCCACAUGAGAGACCAGCCCUGGUUGCCAUGGUGACCCCGGGUUUCAAAAGCCCCACACUUUCAAACCAGACCCAUCAUCUUCCUCUCAAAACAGCUCUUUCUUGCAGGCCCCUGUCUCAAGGAAGGACACACACCAUCCACCCAGCUGCAAAAGCCUAAACCUGAGAGUCACCCUUGGCCCCUCCUUCCCCCACCUAACCCCCACUGCCAAACCCAAACCAGUCACCAAGUCCUGUCAUUUCUAUCUCCUAACUAGCUCUGGAGUUCUCUGCAUCCCCACAGCUCCCACUCUAGUCAGGUCCCUGUCACCUCCCUCCUGGACAACACAGCAGCCUCCCAAACUGUCUCCUAACCGCCAUUGCAGCCUAAUGUUCUAACCUACAAAUCUCAUCUCCUUGCAGACUCCUCGAUGGCUCCCUCUGGUGCUCAGGACCCUGGUGGAGACCUCUGAGAAGGAAGCACCUCAGUUCCCUUUCCUGCCAGACCAGACUCAAGGCAGCGGCUAAGACUGACCAGCUCGAUAUUUCCAGCAGAGGCCAGACCCCCAAUAAGCACUGGUUUAUCAAGUGGAUGGGUAAAUGGAGUCAAAGAAACAAGCUUGAGACACCAAGUA